CCCGAAGCCUGUAACCGCCUUCGGGCGUGAUGGGUGGUUGGGAUCCUCCUUCUGAGGGGUGUAUGGCGCAGCAUGGGCCGGCUCUUCGGGGUCGCGCAUUCCCAGUACUGCGGCGGACCAUCCCUUGGGCAACUCAGUGGGGGCAAUUGGAUCGCUUGGUGCACUUCUGGCGGCUUCGGCCCUGGGGGUGGCUCAGGCGGGGUGCUGGGCUUCAGUCCGCUCCCUGACCGUUUAACUCGCUCUGGUCCUCUUGAGGAUCGCCGGGGCAUUCUCUCUGCCUUUCGGGGUUGAGGGGGUCCCCGGGAACGAUAGUUACCUGGUUGAUUCUGCCAGUAGUCAUAUGCUUGUCUCAA
rnacentral:misc_RNA from 1 species